UGGGGAAUAUUGCACAAUGGGCGCAAGCCUGAUGCAGCCAUGCCGCGUGUAUGAAGAAGGCCUUCGGGUUGUAAAGUACUUUCAGUCGGGAGGAAGGUGGUAAGGUUAAUAACCUUGGCCAUUUACGUUACCGACAGAAGAAGCACCGGCUAACUCCGUGCCAGCAGCCGCGGUAAUACGGAGGGUGCAAGCGUUAAUCGGAAUUACUGGGCGUAAAGCGCACGCAGGCGGUUGAUUGAGUCAGAUGUGAAAUCCCCGGGCUUAACCCGGGAAUUGCAUCUGAUACUGGUCAGCUAGAGUCUUGUAGAGGGGGGUAGAAUUCCAGGUGUAGCGGUGAAAUGCGUAGAGAUCUGGAGGAAUACCGGUGGCGAAGGCGGCCCCCUGGACGAAGACUGACGCUCAGGUGCGAAAGCGUGGGGAGCAAACAGG
rnacentral:rRNA from 1 species